rnacentral:rRNA from 1 species
UACAGAGGGUGCGAGCGUUAAUCGGAAUUACUGGGCGUAAAGCGUGCGUAGACGGUUACAUAAGUCGGGUGUGAAAGCCCCAGGCUCAACCUGGGAAUUGCAUUCGAGACUGCGUAGCUAGGGUGCGGAAGAGGGAAGCGGAAUUUCCGGUGUAGCGGUGAAAUGCGUAGAUAUCGGAAGGAACACCAGUGGCGAAAGCGGCUUCCUGGUCCAGCACCGACGUUCAGGCACGAAAGCGUGGGGAGCAAACAGG